CCUCUCUCCAGCUCCUUCCUCGCGGUCCGCGGUCUCCCCGACCCUCGCCCCGCGCCCGGGCCCCACUCACCGGUGAAGGCACCCGAGGCGCGGAGCAGGGCAAGCCCGGCCAGCGCGCAGAGCAGGGGCCGCAUGCUGCCGGCUGGCGGAGCGCAGCGCCGCGUCUGCCCGCUGCCGCCCUCCCCGCCCUCCCCGGGAUCGCGCCGCCCGGCCCGGGAGGAAAUGCUCGCAGUCCCCGCCAAGAUUCCUGGGCGGCUCCGGGCUUUCUAGCUCGAGCGAGCCCGCCCCCUCCAGAGACCCCGCGGGCGGAGGGGCGACGCGCCAGGCUGGGCGCCUCCCCUGGAAGGGGCCGCGCUCUGAGCCCCCGCGCCUCCCCCGGGCCCGAGCGCAGAAGAGUGGGCGAUGGAGCCGGGGGUCCAGUGAUCCGUUAUGAGCCCAUUUCACAGACCGGCGGACUGCAGUUUCGAGAGAAGUGCCACCCACACCUGUGGCACGGGAUCUGAAUUCCUGACUGCACGGAGUGUGGAAGCUUUUCUCUGCCCACCAGGAACAAGUAAUCAACUCUCAUGACAUCGGACAGAGUGUUCAGCACAUACUUAAGCCACAUUCAUCUUUGUCCAGAAGAGGAAACCGACGUCCAGAGAAAGGGCCUUGCCCAAGUCCAGCCAGGAGGUUAGGAGCCAGGAGGUUAGCGGGGCGGCGGGAAGCAGACGAGAGAGCAAGACUGGGAGAGACCAGAGGGUUGCCACUUGAGCCUGAAUUUCCAAUCUGCCCAGAUAAAGAAGAGAGGAUUUGGGAGGGAAUUCUGCUAGAGUGAUGGCUCGGAAAAAGGCUCACUCCCGAGAAGAUACUGAUGAAGGAAGAUUGUUUUGAAGCUUAAUCAAAGGGCACUCCGCAGCCUUAUUUCACAGAACCCCUACCCUGGGCUAUCUACCAGAGAAUGAUUGGUCAAAGAAAUUGGCAUUCCAAAGGACUAAUGUCAGCAUCAUGUGGCAUAAAUCAUUUUCCCUCUCCUUUUUUAAGCAAAAAAUUAAGUGUCCAUAACGAAACAAAAGUGCCUCCGCACAUUACACCAAUGGCUCCUGGAGGUUUCUAGCCUACCUGUGCAUCCAAAAAUAAAUAAGUCCUCAGAAAGGACUGUGGAUCCAAAGGAGUUGUCAAACCUGCCCUACCCCAGCUCACCAGGCAGCCAGGAAAAAAAAAAUGUAACCUACAAAGGAACCCCUAUUAGGCUAUCAGUGGAUUUCUCAGCAGAAAUUCUACAUACCAGGGGAGAGUGGAAUGACAUACUCAAAGUGCUGAAAAUGAACAUUU